rnacentral:rRNA from 1 species
ACCCGCUGAACUUAAGCAUAUCAAUAAGCGGAGGAAAAGAAACCAACAGGGAUUGCCCUAGUAACGGCGAGUGAAGCGGCAACAGCUCAAAUUUGAAAUCUGGCGCAAGCCCGAGUUGUAAUUUGUAGAGGAUGCUUCUGGGCAGCGGCCGGUCUAAGUUCCUUGGAACAGGACGUCACAGAGGGUGAGAAUCCCGUAUGUGAUCGGUUGGCACCCGCUACGUAGCUCCUUCGACGAGUCGAGUUGUUUGGGAAUGCAGCUCUAAAUGGGAGGUAAAUGCCUUCUAAAGCUAAAUACCGGCCAGAGACCGAUAGCGCACAAGUAGAGUGAUCGAAAGAUGAAAAGCACUUUGGAAAGAGAGUUAAAAAGCACGUGAAAUUGUUGAAAGGGAAGCGCAUGCAACCAGACUUGUCCGCGGUGUUCCGCCGGUCUUCUGACCGGUCUACUCGCCGCGGGCAGGCCAGCAUCAUCUGGGAGCGCCGGAUAAAGGUAGCGGGAAUGUGGCCCCUCGGGGUGUUAUAGCUCGCUACACAAUACGGCGCCUCCCGGGUGAGGUCCGCGCUUCGGCUAGGAUGCUGGCGUAAUGGUUGUAUGCGGCCCGUCUUGAAACACGGACCAAGGAGUCUACCAUCUAUGCGAGUGUUCGGGUGUCAAACCCCUACGCGCAAUGAAAGUGAACGGAGGUGGGAACCGCAAGGUGCACCAUCGACCGAUCCUGAUGUCUUCGGAUGGAUUUGAGUAAGAGCAUAGCUGGUGGGACCCGAAAGAUGGUGAACUAUGCCUGAAUAGGGUGAAGCCAGAGGAAACUCUGGUGGAGGCUCGCAGCGGUCCUGACGUGCAAAUCGAUCGUCAAAUUUGGGUAUAGGGGCGAAAGACUAAUCGAACCAUCUAGUAGCUGGUUCCUGCCGAAGUUUCCCUCAGG